CUGAUCCUCUCAUUUCUGGCAUUUGUGCUUGGAAACAGACAAGACAGCUUGCUAGCAGAGGAGCUCAAGUUGGAAAACAAAGAUGAUGGAAAUGCUUAAAGCAAGUGCAGGUAGUAUGACCCAGACUAACUCCUACUAAGCCAAUCCUCACUAGAAUGAGCACAAAACAAAUGAAUAACAGCUUUUGUACAUCAACAUUAAAAUGGGAAGAAG